UGGCUCAGUUGGUAGAGCAUGGUGUUUGCAACACCAGGGUUGUGGGUUCAAUUCCCAU
rfam:Salmo salar isolate Sally breed double haploid chromosome ssa28, whole genome shotgun sequence.